GAAAUGCGAUACUUGGUGUGAAUUGCAGAAUCCCGUGAACCAUCGAGUCUUUGAACGCAAGUUGCGCCCGAAGCCAUUAGGCCGAGGGCACGUCUGCCUGGGCGUCACGCAUCGCGUCGCCCCCCUCCCCCGCGGGGUGGGGCGGAGAUUGGCCCCCCGUGCGCAGCGAUGCGCGCGGCCGGCCCAAAUGCGAAUCCGCCGUCGACGCGCGUCGCGACCAGUGGUGGUUGAACCAUCAACUCGCGUGCUGUCGCGCCACACGGCGUCGUCGGUCCGGAGACGGCACAUAAACCCAACGGCGCGAUCAACGCAUCGUGCCCACGACCGCGACCCCAGGUCAGGCGGGAUCACCCGCUGAGUUUAA
rnacentral:misc_RNA from 1 species